UACGGGGGGAGCAAGCGUUGUUCGGAUUUACUGGGCGUAAAGGGCGCGUAGGCGGCCACCGCAAGUCAGUUGUGAAAUCUCCGAGCUUAACUCGGAAAGGUCAACUGAUACUGCGGGGCUAGAGUGCGGAAGGGGCAACUGGAAUUCUUGGUGUAGCGGUGAAAUGUGUAGAUAUCAAGAGGAACACCUGCGGCGAAGGCGGGUUGCUGGGCCGACACUGACGCUGAGGCGCGAAAGCUAGGGGAGCGAACGGG
rnacentral:rRNA from 1 species